AUGGUCCGGUGAAGCCCUNGAGAUUGUGGUUAGUUUCCUUUAUUGGAAGUUAACCACGAGAACUUGUCUAAACCUUAUCAUUUAGAGGAAGGUGAAGUCGUAACAAGGUUUCCGUAGGUGAACCUGCGGAAGGAUCA
rnacentral:rRNA from 1 species